ACCUAAAAAUCCUCCGACAGUAAUCUUACCAGCCGCCGUCUUCGAGCGUCGAACCGAAACUGUCCAUCCCACUGACUCGAGCCAUGAGAGGUGCGUUCACCAUCCGUCCAUUCUCCGCCCCCCUGCUCACCGCCGGUCAACCCCUCCUCCGCCUUUCCCGUGGCACUAUCAAUCGGCCUAUUCCGGCGACCACGCCACCGCCUUGUCUCCGACUGACCACUGCCCUUGCCGUAGGCUCCGCCUUCCAGCCCGAUGAGGCCACGGUUCCUGCCCCCCUCCCGCUCCCUGUUCCGCCUGUCUCGAAGUUUAAGAUCGCUCUAUGCCAGUUGUCUGUGACGCCGGAAAAGGAGAGGAACAUCGCUCGUGCUCGCAAAGCCAUCGAGGAGGCCGCCGGUAGGGGGGCGCAGCUUGUUCUUUUGCCGGAAAUAUGGAAUAGUCCGUUUUCAAAUGAUAACUUUCCAGUUUAUGCUGAGGAUAUCGAAGGUGUUGGUGAUGCAGCUCCAUCAUUUUCGAUGCUGUCUGAAGCUGCUCGCAGCCUGCAGAUUACUAUUAUUGGUGGAUCGAUUCCAGAACGUUCUGGUGAUCGUCUGUACAAUACAUGCUGUGUUUUUGGCACAGAUGGAAAGCUCCUGGGUAAACACAGAAAGAUACAUCUUUUUGACAUCGAUAUUCCUGGAGAGAUUACAUUCAAGGAAUCAAACACACUUACAGCUGGGAAACAUGCUACUAUAGUGGACACAGAUGUAGGGCGCAUUGGUAUAGGUAUUUGCCAUGACAUUCGCUUCCCGGAGCUAGCAAUGUUAUAUGCAGCAAGAGGUGCUCAUUUGCUAUGCUAUCCUGGGGCAUUUAACAUUUCCACUGGCUCCUUACUCUGGGAGUUGAUGCAAAGGGCAAGGGCUGCUGAUAAUCAGGUAUCAAUUCAAGUAGAAAAGAAGAACAGCACAUAUUUCAGGGAGGUUUUGUACGGACAGUUUAGCUUCCAUGAAGUGAUUAAAUGUGUUUGUGAUAGUGUUCGCCUAGUUCAGAUUUAUUUGUGGCUACAUGUUCCCCUGCUCGAGACACUGGUGCUUGUUACAUUGCUUGGGGUCAUUCCACACUUGUUGGACCUUUUGGAGAAGUGAUAGCAAUGGCAGGUCAUGAGGAGGCAAUCAUUGUAGAAGAGGUCGACUAUUCAUUAAUUGAACUCAGAAGGUCAAGCAUCCCAUUGAACCAGCAACGGCGUGGUGAUUUGUAUCGGUUAGUGGAUGUUCACAGGCUGAACUCUCGCGGUCUGUAAAUGGUAAAUGCAAAAGCUAAUUUCUUUCUAUCAGAUUAAAACUGUGUACAAGACACUGGCACAAAUUAAAACCUGAGCUGUGGAACGAUGUAUUAACUAUGAAUGUUUCAAAAGAGAGUUGAAUCGA